rnacentral:rRNA from 1 species
GAAUUCACUAGUGAUUCAGGCCUAACACAUGCAAGUCGAACGAGACCUUCGGGUCUAGUGGCGCACGGGUGCGUAACGCGUGGGAAUCUGCCCUUGGGUUCGGAAUAACUCAGAGAAAUUUGAGCUAAUACCGGAUGAUGACGAAAGUCCAAAGAUUUAUCGCCCAAGGAUGAGCCCGCGUAAGAUUAGCUUGUUGGUGGGGUAAUGGCCUACCAAGGCGACGAUCUUUAGCUGGUCUGAGAGGAUGAUCAGCCACACUGGGACUGAGACACGGCCCAGACUCCUACGGGAGGCAGCAGUGGGGAAUAUUGUAAAGUGGGCGAAAGCCUGAUCCAGCAA